CAAUAGUGAUGACUGACGGAUGAUUAAGGGUCGAAGUUUAUGGACCAGAAACAGAGGAACUGUCCUUUUCCUUUUAAGAAGGAAAAGGAUGAGGAAACUUUAAACAGUUAAAGUUUCAUAGAAAGAAAAAUAAUGAUGGAAACUACUAGCUCAUGGUUUGCAGGAAUUAAUAAACUGAGUAGUUUGGUAAGUAGGCAUAUGUGGUGAUUUAGAAAUAAGGAGAAAGGCAAGGAGCAAGUGAGUCAAAGUAAGAGAAUGGAAAGAUGAUUUGAACAAAUAUCAAAUUAAAAUGAUCGUUGUGUUCAAGGUUGCUCUCAUAGCAGUUUGGAAAAAUGUAAUAACUGGAAAUAGAAAAUAGAUCUUAUAGAGAAACAGCUAAAAUGCUUUGCAUGGUCCAAAGGAUGUUGAUAAAAAUCUGAGUAAUAAUUAUGUAGAAUUAUAAGAAUUAAAAUAUUAGAUAAGAAUGUUAAUUUUUCUUUGCGCAGAUUAAAAAAAAA